CACUGAAAAGGAGAAGCAGCACCCAGCUUCCAGUGGGGAUUGUGUGCAGGGGCAGAAGACCCUCAGUGACAUUUUUGCCCUGGACUCUCCCAGCACUCCCUGGGCUCCAGGCACCCGGUUGAGUGCAGAAACUCGGUUCUCAGUACCAUGAUGCAGAGGCUGCCUCACCCCAUCAUCCCCGCUUACAGAUGGGAAAGCCAAGCUCAAAAACUGGACAGGCUAGCAACUGUGAGCUCCUGAGCUGGCUGCCUCUGCCUGGUGGACAGAAGACACCCAGAGCUCUGCUCAAGUGUGACAACCUCUGAAGACUUGGUAAGGCUAAAGUUACCCUCUUCCCUAUGUCCCUGCUGCUGCUGGACACGGCACAGGUUCUCCUGAGAUGGGACUCACCAAUAUCCAUCACCUGGGCUGCUGCAGGCUGACAGGCAGCUACUUCUGUUGCUCAGGACCAAGGUGGACACAUCGCACAAAUGGAGACCCCUCACCUCUUUUGUCAGGACUCUCCCAAGAACUGGAGGUGGCAACACCAAAUCUACUGAAGUGGCUCAGAGAAGGAGAGACUGCUCCUAGAGACCACCCGGCCCACCCAGGGAGAGAACCCUGAUUUGCAGCAUUUACCUGCUCCCCUGGUGGAAACACUACCACCAUGGCCGAUUCCAAAGAACCAGUGUGAGACCACUGAAUGCAGAGUUGCAAAGAGACACCCACAGUCAGCUCCAGGAUGCCAGCCCCAGCUUGGUCCAGAGUGGGGCGCUGUCUGGGGAAUUCAUCAUGCUUGGGCCUGUGGAGUCUUUCCCAUGCUCCUAAGUAUCUCUUUGUGCUCAUAUUUACAUUUUUAUCCAUUGGGAAAUUUUCUGAUUGUUUUGUUUGGAAAGUAAGGAGAUGAUACCUUACACAUUUCUCUGCAGCAUGCUAUGCUCCUUUUGGGUUCACAUCUGUCUAGACUAGAAUAGACAGAACAUAGUUUACUCUGUCACUGUUCCUUAGAGGGACCACCUUGAUGUAGUCAACCAGCCCUGGAGUGAUCAACUGACUUCCUCCUUUAUUUUUCCACAUUUAGCGAUGAAAUAACAGCCUUCGUACAUUUAUUUUUAAAUCUAUAUGGUAGAUAUUACAGAGUGAUAUUCCUGGACUGAAAGAUAAGUGUUUAUGAAGCUAUAAUAUAAAUUUCCAGAAAUCCUUUCCAAAAUAGUUGUGGCAAUUAACACUCCCACACCAGUACAUGAGGAAAUCUAUUUUCUCACAUCAGGAAGGGAUUUUUUGAGACUUAAAAAUCUAGUGGAUGAAAAUAAUAUUGCAUUUUAUUUUAUUUUGCAUUUCUCUAAUGUCAAAUGAGUUGUGUUUACCUUUUUACACCCUUUGGUCAUUUUUAGAUUACACUGUUUGCCUUUUAUUUAAUAAUUUAUAGGAGCUCCUCUUAUAGAGUCAUGUGCCAUAUAAUACCAUUCUGGCCAGUGAGGGACCAUAUAUACAAUGAUGAUGUUAAAAUGUUAUAAUGAAGCUGAAAAUUUUCUAUUGCCUAGUGACACCAUAGCCAUUGUGAUGUCAUAGUGUAACACAUUAGGUGUCUGUGCUGAUGGUGGCGUGAACAAACCUACUGUACAAUUAUGUACAGUGCAUAACAUUUGAUAAUAGUAAAUGACUGUGUAACCAUUUGAUGUAUUUACUAUGCUAUACAUUUGUCAUUAUCUCAUCAUAAUUUCACCUACUUAUUACAAAUGUUGAUUGUAAGAGAGUAUACCAUGUGAUGCUGGCAGCACCGUGUCCAUCUCAAGUUUACUACAUCUCUUCCAUGCACAAUACAAUAGGCCGCCUUGAAUGAUUGAUCUGGACUAUAUAGGUGUCAGCACCCUCUGUGAUGUUUGCACAUGGAUAAAAACAUCAACAGUCCAUUUCUCCUGAUGUAUCUCUGUUGUUAAGUGGCACUGUGACUCUGUUGUGAACUAUUGACUGUCUAUUGUAUACACAAUACAUUUCCUGACCUCUUUAAGAAGGUGCUGCUUCUCCAAAGUUAUUUUCCUAAAAUGCUUCUUGUUAUUGUCAUUUUUUUUGAAUUUAGGUUCUUUGUGCAUUUUGAAUCUUUUCAAAUUUUGAUGUAAUGAAUAUGGUCUAGUUUUCAUUUUCUUCCAGAA